rnacentral:misc_RNA from 1 species
UUUAUUCACAUAUACAUGUGUAUAUGUUUCAGAAAAAUUAUGUUAUUUCAAAAAGUUAAAAAAGGCUUAUGUGCUUAUAUCAUAACUCAUGAGUUUCUCAAAAUAACCAGUGGUAAAAAACCUACUGAACGACUCUAUGAUCUCAUGAUGGCAUCAAAUACCAUGCAAGUCACAAAUUGUUUGUUAGAGCCAACUUUUCUAAAUUCUGUUAUGUCUGGAAAUGAAAUUCUGGAUGAAAAAAUAAAAGAAUGGCUUCAAUGGGAUAGGAAUGAGUUUACUUUUAAUGAAAUCAAGAAGCAUGUUUUGGCAACUAACUAUGAUGAUUUAGCAAAAAUGUUGUUGACAAGACUAGAUUUUGGCACUGCUGGAUUACGAGGUGCAAUGGGUGCUGGCUUUUCAAGGAUGAAUGAUUUAACAAUAAUUCAAACAACUCAGGGUCUUCAUCAGUAUCUCACAAAAGAGUUUGUAAGUUUGAAAAAUGACGGUGUUGUUAUUGGUCAUGAUGCUCGUCAUGGCAGCCACAGAUUUGCUAGAUUAGCUGCUGCAGUAUUCCUUCAUGCUGGCGUGAAAGUCUAUCUUUUUUCGGAUAUUGUACCAACUCCAUAUGUUCCAUUUUCUGUUCUUAAAUAUAAAUGUUCUGCUGGCAUCAUGGUUACUGCUUCUCACAAUCCAAAAGAGGAUAAUGGUUAUAAGGUUUAUUAUUCAAAUGGAUGUCAGCUCAAUCGCCCUCAUGACAAACGCAUUGCUCAAUGUAUAUUUGAAAACUUAGUGCCCUUAGAAAGCUCUUGGGAUGAAAGUUUUCACAAAGUCAGUGAACUUUGUAUUGACCCACUAGAUGAAGUUCACCAAGAUUACUUAAGUGUUAUUCAAAAACAUUGCUAUAACAGGAGCAUAAACGCAUCCAGCCAGUUAAAUAUAACAUACACAGCUAUGCAUGGCGUUGGUGAGAAGUACGAAGUUGAUGCUUUUAAAGCUUUUUCAUUAAAGCCUUUUUUUAGCACUGAAGCUCAGGCAAAACCUGAUCCUGAUUUUCCAACUGUAAAGCUUCCUAAUCCAGAGGAAGGAUUAGAUGCAUUGAAACUUGCAAUAAAGACUGCUGAAGCCAAUAGCAGUCCAAUUAUUAUAGCACAUGACCCCGAUGCUGAUCGAUUGGCCAUGGCAGAGAAACUAAAAGACGGCUCAUGGAAAGUCUUUACUGGAAAUGAAAUAGCUUUUUUGCUUGGAUGGUGGGCAUUUAUAAAUUAUAAGAAAUCACAUGGUGAAAAUUUUCCAAAAAACUCUGUCAUUAUGCUUUACAGUACUGUUUCAUCUCGUGUUUUAAAAACAAUGGCUGAAAUUGAAGGUUUUUUAACCGAAGAAACAUUGUGUGGCUUCAAGUGGACAGGAAAUAAAUCUCUUGAAUGUUUGAUGCAGGGAAAGACCGUUUUAUUUGCAUUUGAAGAAGCUUUAGGAUAUAUGUUUGGUACGCAAGUGUUAGACAAAGAUGGUAUCAGUGCAAGUGUAGUUGCAUCUGAGCUGGCUUGUGUUUUAUACAAUGAAGGAACAACCCUUUCUGAAAAACUUGAACAGCUGAAUGAAAAUAUCCAGAUUAUGUUGGUCCGUAUAAAGUAAAACACGUUCGUGAUUUAUACGGUUCAGGGUUUGAUAGCAGCCAACCAGGAAAUAAACCGAUUUUUCCUACAAGUACAUCUGGUCAACUAUUGACGUUUACAUUUGAGGAUGGCUGUGUUGCGUCUAUUCGCACAAGCGGAACAGAACCUAAGAUAAAAUAUUAUACUGAAAUAUAUACAGAGCCAAGUGACCGAAUGACGCUGGCUGAAGCUCAAAUGAAAAUGAACAACCUAACUAAACACAUUAUUGAAGAACUUCUUCAACCUGAACAAAAUCAUCUAAUUUCUCGAUAAUUUAAAAAAAUAUGUAAUUUUGUUUUUUGUUUUGAAAGGAUUUUUUUUA